CAGUGCAGGAUGAUUUGUAGUGCAUGAGCAUGUAAACACAUUACUGAGUCUUUUGUCAGAUUAUGUACACACAGCAGUGUGUGUGUGUGAAAAGUGUCUAAACCCGGAUUUUGUUUUAAAUAAUCUUCUCUAGUAGUCAUUAAUUAUUCUUUCUUGUUUUUGUAAAAAACAUUGACAUUACUAAAUAUAAUUAGUUGUGUGAACUUUUCAGACGAAAUGUUGAAUGCAGUUAUUAUGUCAAGUAGAGAUAGCUUAACAUGAUGAGAUUUUGCAAGGGGAGGAGCCCCGUUUGAACAUGUUUGAGCUGUGAAGAUUCCGGCUGAUGAUGUACACGAUGGACUGGAAAGCAGUAUGUAAUGGUGUUUGUGUGCAAGAAUCUCAAGCAUGAAAUCAUUGACUGACUUAGUCUAACUGAGAUAUUUCAGUCUAGGAGAAAUUGGGCAGCUGUUGACAGCUUUCACAUCAAAUCAAGACUAAAGAGCCAACUGAUGUCUCUGGUGCUCAGAGGACUCCCGAUCGUCUUUGGCCACAAACCUACAGAUAUCUACAAAGUAUUCUUUGACUCUUUGGAAUCCUCCUCAUUGAGCAUAAAGGCUCUCAUCUUCUCUCCAUCUCAAUCCAGCCUUAUUGAAGACCAUCACCGAAGGAGAAGUUGUGAUGGAAAAUAUUGACGAUUUGCCAAAAGCUACGAGCAUUCUGUAUGGACUUGAAUACACACUCCAUCUCAACUUCCCUAAAUCUAUACAAAACUCAUUCCAGUUCAUCCAACAGGUACUUUUCAUGAAAAAUCACCUUACAAUGUAAGGAAAUGCGUGAAGCUGCCAUGAGAAUCCACUUGUGUUUUGUUGUAUAAGACAUUAAAGUGUGUUCUGUCACUGCAUAUUAGUGCUGUUAGUGCUCAGUUAAUGUGUCACACAAUUUUUCUAAGGAUAUAGCAUAUAUUGUUGAAUACUGUGUGCUCAUGUUUCUUCCACAACCGAGUUAAAAUUUUUUAGUAAAUGCUUUCAAAGCUUAUUUUUACCUGUCCUGUGGAUGAGUUUAAUGCAUUGUCAUGUUACCAUUUAUUUGGUAAACAAUAAAAAAAUGUGCAUUGAAAUCUGUUUUCCUUUAUUGUUUUUCAAUUUAUUUUAAAAAAUGUUUCAUAGAAAAAAUAUCUCAAUCUAUGUCUAAUUACAUUGACAUUACAUAAAUAUAACAUUUAUCAUUACUUAAAAACAUUUGUUAAUGUUAUUUGCUAAUAUAUAUUUUUGUAUUUGUAACUUAAAAUAGUUAUUUAUGCAACCUAGAGAAUACUCCAAAUAAUAAUUGGUAUGAACUUAAGAUUUUGAGUAAUGACUACUAAUGUAAACUUGAUUUGUCUACUGCAUAAACUUAAAGUUCUAUGUUAAUUCAACAAAGGGCUGUUUAGUUUC